rnacentral:miRNA from 1 species
CCCUUGAGCCUGAUCCCCUAGC